rnacentral:rRNA from 1 species
GAGGGGGCAGCGCAGUGGCGGGGCUCCCUGAGGUUUUGACUUCGUGAGAGAGAGUAGGGGAGGGGAGGGGAGAGGAGGGAGGGAGGGAGGGAGUAGCCGACGCGAGGCGACGAAGGAGGGGUGCGAUCUCGCUUUGGGGUUGGGUAGAGGCAGAGAGAGGCCUCCUGACCAACGCCUACCUGCCGCGGCGCGGCGAGCGGCGGCCCGCCAUCCCGAGCGGGGCUAGCCGCUCCCCCGCCACCCCAACCGGGCCCGUAUACUCCCGCGGCGUUCUGGCGCUUGCGUGCUACUCCCUAGAGAUGCUAGCAUGCGCGGUGUUCCUAGAGCGCGAGGAGCUCCUUAGCUUGUUCCUUGUUGCGCCACCGCCACGUCAUGCCCGUCUCCCGAGACUUGUCGCCCCUGACCGGGGGUUCUAUCUCCUGUUGGGAUGUCAUUCUUUUUCUGGUCACGGUUCACUACCAGGAGUACACUUUCGUCUUAGACCGUGAACAUUACAGACAAGACGAGGAACGAGGAGAACGGAUGUGUCUCUAGAACGUGGACAACUAAGGUUAUACCUGACGCCUAGUAGAGUUUGCACGACACGUUCCAGUCUUAGUUCUUGAUUAAACAAUCAAGCAUCACCCUUUCCCGAGGCAUGUUUCCCUCCACUUUUACUACUACUUGAAUCACGGUGAAGUUCGGUACGAAGGAUAAGGCUUUUACCACCUGUAUUCCGAUACCGCUCUAGGUAACGUCGUCUAAGUCUCCAAUUGUACGGCCGUUUUGCAUCUUCCGAUAACUCGCUAUGCUCCAGUGGAUCUCUUCUCACGGUGCUACUAUCAUUGAGCACACAAUGACCAUGUAGUCGUCGUUCGUUUGAAGACGACCUAUUCUUUUUCCUAUUUGAUAGAUGAAGACGCAGUUCAGCACUAGAGUGACAGUUCCUGUUCUUGUAACGACCAGGAUUGUCUGAUUCUUUAAGGGAACACCUUCUUAGAUGUCUCUUCUUCUCUAGACUACAAGUAUAACAGGGUGGAUCGAGUAGGCUGGCUAGUCGAGGACGUCUAAGAGGAUGUAAAUACUGGUUUUUCAAUGAGGCUUGAGUCAGGAGACAAUCACGUAGAGUUCCUAAUAGAGGAUUUUUCAGUUCGGUCCCAAAUCCCUUAAGUGUUCUAUUAAAUCUCGUUGUUGGAAGACUCCUUCAAGGUUUAUUACUGUAUCUAGUAAAUGGUCCUCCUUUUAAUUCGUCCGGACACUAACCACCACUGUUCGUACUAUACCACUGAUCAACGUCAUGCUCAUCGUUUUUAUUUUAGUUCCGACCUAGAAGUAGUUGCCUUGACCUUUGACCGUGGGCAACGUGCUCCUUACCGUCAGUUCUUGUGUGACUGUAAGAUAGACUACUAAAACGAUUCUCCUUACUGUUACAAGUUGUUCUGGUCUUGGUUCCAAAUGGUUGCCUAUUUCGAUCACUAUUUCUCAACUUAUGUGUCUUACUACGAUACUAUCUCACGCCCUUGAGUCUUUCGAAUUAUCUACAAUUACAAACACUAUAUACACCUCUACAGCCAUCCCUUAUAGAAGACCGAUGUACGUGAUCUACGGAACUCCCCCGCCUCGUAUGAAUAACGUACGCUCACUUUAACCUAUUCCAAGGUCUACCACUUACCAAUACACUUCUUACGGUCGAAUUACUUCUAGCUUAAUUUUGUUCUCCGUUGGCGCCACGUAGUUGUCAACUGUAAAGUUUACCCUUCUUGGUUCUAAGUCUUUCGUACUCGUUGGGAUUCUGGAACGUCUGGCGAAACUGAUUAAACCCGCGAGUUGUUUAACGAAGACCAUGUGGCCAUUGACUAGUGAACAGACCAUUAUUACAUUUCGACGUAAGUCCGAGUUGACUAUGUCUACGUGCUGUUCACUUCACACGGUCGGGUUUACGGGCCUCCGACCUACGUUUCUCAUUUUUGAAACCCUCAUACCGUUUAGCAUUCUCCGAAGUUUAACAGUGGAGACUGUGCCUUUGUGCCGGUGGGUGAACGCCGUGUGGUAGUCGGCCUUCUAAUCCGUUCUUCAUGCUUUCAAGUCUUCUAAAUAACUUAGCAUUCUUUAACGCUUAACGGUGACUAUACCUUAACGGUUACAGUUCACUUCCGGACGACUCAGGUGGAUUUAGCAGGUUCUCCGUACGUCUCUUACGCAGUAGGAGAUUAGGUUCCGGCAAGUUCUGUCUUUCGGGAUCCUUUGUACUGUAAAAGAGAGUAGUUUUGAGCAAAUUCUUUCGGUUGUUCCCUUUAGAAUUCGGUGGACUAUUACGAGGUCACUUCCCACAAGUCCGUCAGUUUUCAAGGUACUGGAAUAGUGCCAGUAUAAGUAAUCCUUCGGACCGAUUACCGUUUCGCGGUCAAGGAAGUGGUGCUCCAGGAAAUAGCUUUGUUAACAGAAAGUUGUUAAGCUUCUCGCUUGGUUUCCAGUUCGUCAAUCGUCUUCCACACCGUUCGUUCGACUUCGGACAUUUUGUAAGGGGUUAUCUACAAUCUCUUUUCCCCGGUUACUCUUUCGAAUACUUUAGUCUCAGUAAGUUCGCGCUCCCAAGUCAAUCAUUUCUGAGGUCAAGUAAUUUUGUCUUAUUUAGUAGAGAGAACAGAGCUCUACUUUCUUGUUCUUACAACUUCGGCUACUCGCUAUUCUCAAAGAAUCUUUCUUCCGGAAGAAAAUAAGAAGUCUUUGGUGGAAAUAGUGGUUCCGGACUAUCAAGACACUUCAGCCCUCUAUCUUUUCAGCUGGUUCUAUUAGGUUCCGGACCUGGUUCGUAUGAUUUUUGAUCGUUUUUCGGUCCAUUGUAGCUUUUCUUCGUCUAGAGACGAAAGACAUUGUCACUUUUCGCCCCGUAACGAUAAGUGGUUUGUAGUUGUCCUCACCAAAGAAGAUUUCUACGAUUAUGACAUUUCUGAAGACUAGGUGACGAAGGUCACCUUUUACAAUUAUUCCUAUUACUAACACACCCACUUCGAAGUGAGUAAGAAUCCUUUUUACUAUUAUUUUACAGUUGAUUAGGACUCCACGAAAGGUGUGGUAACCGGUACUGGACACUUUGUCUAAAUGUUUUAUACCACGGUUCUCGUUCGCGAAGUCUUCUAAACUGAGGAUUACACCCUGUUACGGUCGGAAACCGGUACUGAAGACUUAGUGUUUCAUACCACGGUUCUCGUUCAAGAAGUCUUCUCAACUGAGGAUUACACCCUGUUACGGUCGGAAACCGGUACUGAAGACUUAGUCUAAAUGAUUCAUACCAAGGUUCUCUUUCACGAAGUCUUCUAAACUGAGGAUUACACCCUGUUACGGUCGUUCUCCAAAACCUUUCGUGACUUGUAUUCAGUUAAUUUUCACGUCUCCUUCAAGUCCGACGUCUUCUGUAUAACGGGCUCUCAGGUGUACUAGGGGAUUACCGUGUUUUUGAGACACGGGGACUUUUGUUUAACUCGCUCGGUUUAAACUUCGUAGUUCUAAGAAAACUAGUCAACGGAUGAGAACCCUUAGAAAGGUCUUGAAAUCAAUAAGGUCUCGUCUGAAUGUAGACCGUUCCAUAGAAACUCCAAAGUUCUUGACCUUAGAGAAGGCUUGAUAUACUACCCUAAGUCCGGGUGAACAGGUGGACAUGGAGCCGGUUUCGUGAACUUCAUCAGUUUGUUAAUGGAGUCUCUUAAGCCGAGUAUCUUCAAGGUGCAACAAGUAGCACCGGUGUAGUUAAAUUCCUUCAUGUCGGCUCACUUCUAUUGUAACGAGAAAAAAAGAAACGAGUUCUACAACUUUCAAUACUUUCUAUGCCGUUUGAGAACCUUUUCAACGAACAACUUCUGAACACGGAGUGUUGUUUAUAAUUACCGCAACUUGAAGAGUAAAACAGUAGACUAUUAAACGGCCUUUUCUAAGUUGCCACCUUACCGAAAGAAAUGAAAACCCCGCAGAAGAUGCGCUCCUUUCGUUUAUCGAGUUGUCUCGAACAUCACUUUUUAGGAACAGGUGAUCACAGUUGGUGACUUGGAAAACUAUUCGGACACACAAGGGGAUUCCAAGGAGUUAGAAACCCAUAUCUAAACUUGGUCACGGGACUACUACUUAAUAUACUAAGUGGGCAUAGUGAACCUAGUCUCUGUCUCUUCAGUCCACGUAGACUUCUAGUGUUCUGAAACUACCCCAGCUGUUUACCCUUACUUUUAGACCUACGUACACUUUAUGUAGUAGUUCUUUGACGUCAGUGGUCCCUCUAACAUAACCCUUCACCAUGACGUCAACAGACACUUUGAAUAUGAGGGUACCCGAGUCCUCCAGUGUUGUACUUUAACCUUAUAGGUUCACUAUGUUGUCCACCGAGUCCUUGACUUCCGUCUCUGUCGUACUUCCUACUCCUCUAGAAAUCAGACUUACUUCGAGGUACGAUACAGCUUGCUGUACACCCACGUUCGUCUAGUUACGGACUGUUAUAUAACCGGUUCUUCUUCCGCGAGUGUAGCAACUGUCUUCAUAGCAAUGUUGUAGUUUCACUUAGUUAGGACUUCCGCCUGAAGCAAAACGUACUAAGGCUCAGUUCGAUGUUUUCCGUUUUCUAACAAUUACCUCUACUUGUUGAUGGGUCGCUCGCGAACAGCUUCUAUGUAAGGGAUGGUCGACCAACCGCAUGAGGUAUGCUACUGAGUGCAAUACGUAUGUUCCCAGAGAGUCUAGAUCCAAGCUGCUGUUUUCGGUAGAGUCUAGUUCAACAAGUACAAGAAAGCAGACUACUACUUCCGAGAGGUCUUGUAUGAUGAUACUUAUUCCGUGGCGACUUCCGUCUUGUCCCUAGGAGGAGGGGAGACAACAGUGAUAGGGACAGAUGUCGCCGUUUCUGCGCGUUUGAACGGUCAAGCCUGCGUCCUCUACUAGCUAGCGACAGAGAAAGAGAACCGGAGGGAGAGGGACCACAACGUUUUCCUUUGGUCCGAGACCUCUAUUUCGUCAAAGACGGCCUCUUCGGACCGUAUUUAUGAAGAAAAGUAGAAAUCUAUACGCCCACAUGUCAAAACACGACACAAAUUGAAAUACCUCAAAUCUGUCCCAUCUUCAUACCAUAUCAACAAUUUAAUACUUGUAGAACCAGAAUAACGUGACGAGAUACGUAGAGGACGUUGACAACCAAGUACGAUCAGACCACUACCAUAACUGACGAAAACAAACUAGAUACCUCAAAAAUCAACGCCUUACACUUAUGAAAGUAUGUGGAAGCAAUUGAACUAUGAAUGGGACCACCUGCUUUAAAACUUCAUGGUCUUGAACGUACAUAUAGAUAGUACUGUCGUUUAUCACUCCAUCCUCAAUAGCUCAAAGUGUGCGCCCUCCGUCGAAGAGAUGCAAGAUGAUGUGCCAUGGGAAAGAAAAGAUACUGUAGAAUAUCUUACAAUCGAAUCGACCGUUAAGUAAUCAACAUAAAAAGAGUAGACGCAAACGUUUGAAAACUAUGUACCCUGUUAGUGAGCAGUUAUUUUAUUCCCUGAGUUCCGAGUACACGUGUUUAAGUAAUCAAAAACCUCCCCAAAUUAAGUACCAACCGGUUCUACCAUUUGUGACUUUGGUUAGAUAUAAAAGUUUAAGCCAAUUCUCUGACACAGAACGCAAAACUACGAAUCCCUUAUAAAUAGUGUACGGCACGAGUUUUACAUGAGGGAGACAAGUAAAAACAUUCAGUAAAAUCUGUCGACUUUAACUCGACAAAAUCCACGACAGAAUUUACGGAUUUUGCAGAAUAUUUUCACUUGCCUCCCUCAUCAUUUGAUUAAAAUCUCUCAACGCAUUCAUGUUCGGACGUCCUAACGAGGACGUCGACCUAUUAACCUUGGUUUUUACCAGAAAUGUUACCUACCGAACCACAAGACUACCAGGAAUGGAAUAACUGGCGUUGAAGACAUAAAUGUUAGUAUAAGCAUAGGCGGGGAGAUCACCUAUGCAAAGAUAAGCACCCGGACAAAAACCAAAAUACCUUUGUUAGUUUGUUAUAUUAUAUAUAUAGGGACCACGAUAAUAAGGAUGAAGACAUCAAAUCGCCUGUUUAACUAUUGAAGCCGUAAGGAACGAGUGACUCGUUUCGGCAACCAAAGAAUCAGUCUCGCCGUGGAAAGGCAUAACCCGAUAAAGAUGUAUCGGCUUCAGCAGACUUUACUUUUAGCGUUCGUGUUAAAAGCCUCCCUAAAAAAGCAUACCAUUAGACGCAACCAAUGUUUUUUGAUCGGUAAAUACCUAUGACGAGCAUUCAUAUACGUCUAGGAAACAUCGCAUAAAAAAGUGAGACGCUCCUGGUUCUAUUUUAGUUUAUCUAUGAAUACCAUUUUUCUACCGCUUUAAGAACUAACAACCACGUACGGACUGGGAGCUACAUACAAGGCUUAAGUAGAACCGUGGGCAGCGAAAGUAAGAGGGGUACCGUGGAAAUGGGUGGGGUUGCGUAAGUUGUGGCUUAAGAAAGGAGGAUGCGUCUCACCCCGGGUAGGAGUGCAGCUACUUACGUCUUCGUGGUAAAGAGAGAAAACGAUUUAAAGGUGGAUAUACUUACCACACCGGGUAGAGACCGCUCGAACCUAAGGUGACCUAUACGAAAAUGUUUCUAAUAACUGGUACCUCCAUUAAAUAUCGUGACAUAAUAAUACUUAUAUUUAGUCGUUUAUACAUGUUUUGUCAGGUUUAAGGUAACUAACGCAAAAGUUCCUAUGAUCAUGGGGCAACGUUUUAUGAGAUCGAAUGACAAAAAAAAAACUUGGCCCGUAUUGGGGAAAGGUAAUUGGUUUAUUGCCUUUAUGUAGUCAGGUUUAGUCUGUCUUUCCUACGCCCUUGCCCCUUUCGUUCAGGUUGCGUAGCAGCCCUUUGGAUGACAUCCACGAGCAGUAGCUCUGUGGGUGACGUCCCGCUUUUGGGUUGCUGUGGUGGUUGAAAGGAUAUUGGUCAAAAUUUUCGAGUGCGUCCUCGUUUUAUCAGUAAUGAGAGCGUCCUCAUCCAGUGCGUCUAGUGCUUUAUCUCGUCAGUAUUCCUUCUUUGUAUCCUUGAGUUUUCUCUGCCAUUGGUCGCGGUCGUUGGUCACGAAGAGUUUAGCGUCGGCUUGAGGAGUUCGCGAAUUCGUCUCCUACUGCAAAAGGGAUACGUCGACGCGUUUAAGAGUAGUACAAGGAGCGCAACAGAAAGUCGUGACGUUGUGUUAUAACAUAUGAACAGCAAAGGAAACAUAUCACGGUAUAAAAUAAACCUUACAACAUCUCGUUUGAUUGGGAACAAUGCUUAUCACUACUCCUCGACAGACGACAAGAGAAUUCGAGAAACGACCCACUUUUCUCUUACCACUACCCUGUAAACCACCUCGACUCACCGUUUCUUCUUAGCCCCGGUUUGCUAGGUAUAGGUUGCUUUCCCAACUUCUUUCUCCUUGUUUGUCUCCCAGUGCAACGAACUUGUGAUCCGAGGACACCUGGCUAUGGAGGCAACAAUAGAGGUCACUCUAUACCACAAGGAGACGGAAGAGAAUGAUAAGUAGAGAUACGGGAGGAGACAAGACAGUCGAGAAGAAGAUAGUGAGAAGCGGACAACUAGCAAAGGUGACAUCAAAUUUCUUAAUUACGAAGUACUGAACGACGACGACAAAAGAGUUGUGAUCACGAUUCGCAUACGGUAAAUACAACGAGUAACAAGUACAUGAGGACAUAAAUUAACAGGAAAAAUAGUGAAGCAACAAUAGGGUAAAAGCAUACAGUUUUUGUCACUGGUUUCAUAACUGCACGUCAAACGAUGAUAAGCCAAAACCGACCAUGUUCUCUGUUCCCUACUAUAAUAGUUUCUCCAUACGGUAAGGUAAGUAUAAAAUAAGUUAAUUAACCUUGAACUCACUACAUGACACGAUAAUGUAAAUAUUGUUCGACGUAUGAUCUUGGACGUUCUACUUACCCGUUGCCUUGGCCGUUGUAGUCCCAUGCCUACGUGGUGACUUAACAACUAUGAAACGACGAUGUGAUACAAUCGUACGUACAUACCACAGAAAUGCGGCGUGGAAAAUCGGGGAAGUCCUCAUUCCGACGUCACUCAUGGAGAGUAACAGAAUGGAUGUAGAUACCAGACCAUGCACAUAAUUCGUAUAGUCUCUUGACGUCCUGGUGUAAUUUCCGUGUAAAACCACAUUGUCUCAAAUAAACUAUAGCACAAUCAUGAGAAUGCAAUCAAGUACAUACGUGAAACUUUUGGGAUAAGUUUCACCGACACCUUAACUUUUAAUGACGACACGACACGAUAACAGUUUUACAAAUAAAACCUUUGUGUGAACCUUUAUAGUGG